rnacentral:rRNA from 1 species
CCCUUAGAUGUCCUGGGCCGCACGCGCGCUACACUGAUGCAUUCAACGAGUUUCUUCCUGGUCCGAGAGGAAUGGGUAACCUUUUGAAAGUGCAUCGUGAUAGGGAUAGACUAUUGCAAUUAUUGGUCUUCAACGAGGAAUUCCUAGUAGACGUAGUUCAUCAGACUGCAUCGAUUACGUCCCUGCCCUUUGUACACACCGCCCGUCGCUCCUACCGAUUGAGUGGUCCGGUGAGGCUUUGGGAUCUGAGCGGAAAGAGCGUUUCGCUGUUUCUGCCCGGAAAACUCAGUCGAACCUUAUCAUUUAGAGGAAGGAGAAGUCGUAACA